rnacentral:rRNA from 1 species
UACGGAAGGCAGCAGUGGGGAAUAUUGCACAAUGGGCGAAAGCCUGAUGCAGCUAUGCCGCGUGUAUGAAGAAGGCCUUAGGGUUGUAAAGUACUUUCAUCGGGGAGGAAAAAACAAAACUAAUAAUUUUAUUUCUUGACGUUACCCGAAAAAGAAGCACCGGCUAACUCCGUGCCAGCAGCCGCGGUAAUACGGAGGGUGCUAGCGUUAAUCAGAAUUACUGGGCGUAAAGAGCACGUAGGUGGUUUUUUUAAGUCAGAUGUGAAAUCCCUGGGCUUAACCUAGGAACUGCAUUUUGAAACUGAAAUACUAGAGUAUCGUAGAGGGAGGUAGAAUUCUAGGUGUAGCGGUGAAAUGCGUAAAUAUCUGGAGGAAUACCUGUGGCGAAAGCGGCCUCCUAAACGAAUACUGACACUGAGGGUGCGAAAAGCGUGGGGAGCAAACAGGGAUUAGAUA